rnacentral:piRNA from 1 species
GACACUUUCGUUGGGUCUGCUUCCUGCCU